GGAAGGUUCUGCAACUGGUACUGGAUAAGGUGAAAAUCUUUCCACUGGCUGUCUUGACAUCUCAUCUCUAACUGUCUUGCUAGCCUGCCUCCUUAUAUAGGACUCUUAAAAGGUCAAAGCUUUCAUUCCAGGAAAGAAACUGCCACUGGAUUCAGAGAGAGAACUCCCAAUUCCUUAUAGGAAACUAGCACUGUAUGUGAGGCAUGAAACUCCAACUCGACCGAAGGCAUAAGGAAUUGCAGGAUAUGUAAGGUAUACAUAUACUACUGUAUAGGCUUCUCUUUAUUCUGCGGUUGAAUAGGCAACAAAGACUACUUAUCCAUAGGCAACUAAUAGUACUCCAACACUGUAAAUGGAAGGCAAAGCACUAGCAGGAAGGACUCCAAAUUCAUCUGGAAUCGGAUGAAACUAUAAAGAUGCUAAUUCAAAAUAGUCCAAUACAGAUAAGAAAGCUGAAGCUAGCCACUAAGAUGCUAACAGGCACAAGUAAGAUUUAAUAAAUUCUCAAUUCUUUGUUUGCUCACAGAAGAGAUUGCCCUGUAACCUGCUAUUCCUGCUGGAUUGAAAGCUGAUUUCGUAAGGUAAGAAAGAGUAGUUUCCACUAAAACUCCAACUGGCAAUGGAACUGCUGAUAUCCUUCCUUACCCAUUUGAUCAAGACUUUCUUUCCUGCCUUAGGAAAGAAAGAGUUUAGGCCUGUUGACUCAGCUUGGAAAGAAGUCAAAACAUUGACAACAUAAAUAUGGAUUCUGCAGUUGGGCUUUUUUAAGGACUCGAAGUGGCUAGCAGAAACGAAAAGAGAAAGAAGGGACAAGAAGAGCUAUCCUAGUGUCAACCAAGAUCUAUUCUAUGUAGCUACCCUACCAUAGAAAAAAAUCGCCACCACUACCUUCACCAGCAGCAAAGGCAAAAGGUGAAAAAACUGGAACUGGUUUAGCAAAAAAGUGGGCAAAGAUUGGCUCGCAAGGAAAGAGAAGGACUGGCUAGCUUACUCUUUUAUUACUCGAAAAAAUCCCAUUGCCUUUGCCUUCACAGACACACAUUGAGAGAGACAAGCAGAAAACGAACUCAUUUGGAAAUGGUUGAGCAACUCCUACUGGAGCUAAAUCGAAACUAGCACUUCAAUAAGUUGCUCUUAGCAUGCCAACUAUAAGGGUUUAGCUUUGUUAUCCAAAAACCAUGGCAGGAGCUUAGCUUAGAAUUGGAAACCCCUAGCCUUCCUCUAGAUAGCAGAAAACCCUAUCCAAGAGCACUCAAAUCGACCGAAACUCACUAGCUCUUUCAAGAGGAAAAAAAGCCUAUUCAAAAGUCUUCCUCCCUCCUUAUCCCUAUACUAUAGGAAUAUAGGAAAGAGUAAAGAGAUCUAUCCAGCCCACCAGGAUAGCCCCACAUACAAGGAAAGAAAAAAAGGAUAUCUUUCUGUAGACCUAUCUGGGAAUCUUUUACCGUUAGCGUUAGCCUAGCCGAGAGAAAGAAAGAAAUUUGACUUGGAAGAAGAAGACUACCUUCCUCGCUAAAGCCCCAACCCUAAGCUUUUAACCUAGCCUUAGCCUGCACGAUCCGACCUUGACCCAUAUGGUACUGAAACUAGAUUCCAAGUAGAAGGUAUAGAAGUAGAUGUAGGGGAUGCAAGAGAACUCUCGCUGGCAGGAAGAGACCUGGAUGCCCUUAUGACAAGACUAGCCCUCCCCAAAACAGAAAAAGAAAGGAGAUCUUUUUCCUCAAAGAAAAUCUUUUUUGAAUACUCUCUCACAACCCUCCCCUACAUUAAAUCACUUACAGAAAUGUGAAAGAGACUUCUAGACAAGUUUGCUCACAGAAUUGCCCACUCACUUGAGAACUUAAUUUAUAGUUUUCCUAAUCUCCCUAUCAAAGUCUUACGCACCAUUUUAUCCCUAGAAAUCCCAUAUACUGCUUGCUUUAUGAAAGGCCCUAUUCUGCUCUAGAAAAAACAUAUUCCGCCCUAGUCGCCUUUGACCUAGCGCCUUUUGCAAAAGGAGGAAUUAAACUAUCAAUUACAGAUACGAAUGCUAGUACUUAUACUGUUGGAGAAGACCUAUAGAUUGCUUUGGAAGGAAGAUUUAAAACUGCAGGGGAUUAGCACGCCAAGGGAACUGAAUGGAAAGUUGACAACCUAAUUGGUUUUUUUAAAGGGACUAAAGGAAAGGUUACUCCUACAAAGGCUCCCACGGGAUAGACGGAAAAUAUCAAAUUCAUAAGGUCUAUCCCUAUCCCGCCGCUCUUCUUGAUCCUGAUGGCUUUGCACUUUUUAGCGGAUUGUUUUCUACUUUCUAAUUGACUCGAAGGCAUAAUUUGAAUUAAAAAGGAUGGAAAUUUGGCUUGCACCAACAUUGAUCGAAAGAAACUCCAAUUCAAAGCUAGUAAGGGAGAAAGUAAAGGCUGUAAACUAGCACUUAUAUAUAUUUUAGGGGCUUACUUGCCUAAAAUCACUACUUGCUUGCCCGAAAAAAAAACAUAUGGUAUAGAGAAAAAGAAUAAAGAAUAUGAUAAAGGUCCUGCAAACCCGGAGUCUUCCUUAAGAGAAAGAAAUUUUUAUUUUUUCUUGCCGCUCUUGCAUGUACAAAAACAAGUUAGCCUUGCACUACUCCAGUUGGAUUGUACUACAGUGCUUGAUUGACCUUUUCUACUUUCAAACUUGAUAGCCAUAAAGCCUUCCAAUAGCUAAUCUCUUAGCC
rnacentral:lncRNA from 1 species